AUUGAACGCUGGCGGCAGGCUUAACAAAUGCAAGUCGAGCGAGCGGAGGAAGGGUGAGUAAUGUCUGGGAAAAUGCCUGAUGGAGGGGGAUAACUACUGGAAACGGUAGCUAAUAACGCAUACCAUCAGAUGAGCCCAGAUGGGAGUAGGUAGUUGGUGGGGUAAAGGCUCACCAAGCAGACGAUCUCUAGCUGGUCUGAGAGGAUGACCAGCCCCACUGGGACUUAGACACGGCCCAGUCUCCCACGUGAGGCAGCAGUGGGUAAGAUUGCGCAAUGGGGGCAACCCUGACGCAGCCAUGCGGCGUGAAUGAAGAAGGCCUUCGGGUUGGAAAGUUCUUUCGGUAGCGGGGCGUUAACUACACAAGAAGCACCGGCUAACUCCGUGCCAGCCACCACGGUAAUUC
rnacentral:rRNA from 1 species